rnacentral:ncRNA from 1 species
CCGCAUGAAGACAAUCCGAAACAUUCCAUUCCCAGAUGGAAGACCGACGCGGAAAGGCAGGCUGUAUAGCGAACAGCUUGGUGAAACUGACAGGUAAAGAGAAGGUUGUCCGACGGAACUUUGGAAAGACCACUUCCAUGUGGCGCCAAUGAGGCUAUAACCAACUGGCAAAAAGACAGAGGA